AACGGUUCCCAUACGAUCACCGAAGUUAAUCAACGUCGAGCCUGGUCAGUAACUAGAUGGGGGAAUAUUUGGGAAUACCAGGUACU